rnacentral:lncRNA from 1 species
GUGGUUUUAUUCUUUGUGUCAUGUUCUUUAUAUAUAUAUAUAUGUUUUUCUAAACUCAUGUAAAGCAUGCAAUAAGCAGGGAAUUGUUGCAUCCUCAUAUAUUUUUCUAACGCAGUACAGACGCAGUCGCUCAUACGAACAUACAUAUAUCCACCCAUAUGGACACAUGCAUGCACAUGCUACCCUUACGAGCACCUUCGAGAGACCGAACUAACACAUCAUUUUGAGGUUGACUAAAUUUCCGCAUACGCCAUUGUAGUUGGCGGUGGUGUCUCCUCUCACUGAACCCACAUCUCCGGAAGGCCUGAAUCUUUCCUACUUAUAAAGGUUGGAGUUGGUGGUGAGUUCACAUGUGAUACCACACAAAUAAACAAAUGCACUUGUUAGAGCAUGUUUCUCGAUUUGCGGUUCUGGUAAUUGAUGGCAAUCCCUUUGUACUAAUUGUUGCCUUGAUUUAUAUUCGAACGAUUUGUUCAUAGGAACUUCUUGAAGUCAUUUGUUGGUUUUAAGGAGUUUAUAUGAUGACCAAGGUGGUAUUCAAGGUUUUUUCUAAAGAUUGGUCAUGUGAGAGUUGAACUUAUCACAAGCAUGUAUUGAAGAAGAAGAUUGUGUGAACAUUCAUGUUUAUCUUCAACACAUCAUCUUUAUGAAGAGAG